AUGCAGUCGAACGGUAACAGGAAGCAGCUUGCUGCUUCGCUGACGAGUGGCGGACGGGUGAGUAAUGUCUGGGAAACUGCCUGAUGGAGGGGGAUAACUACUGGAAACGGUAGCUAAUACCGCAUAACGUCGCAAGACCAAAGAGGGGGACCUUCGGGCCUCUUGCCAUCGGAUGUGCCCAGAUGGGAUUAGCUUGUUGGUGGGGUAACGGCUCACCAAGGCGACGAUCCCUAGCUGGUCUGAGAGGAUGACCAGCCACACUGGAACUGAGACACGGUCCAGACUCCUACGGGAGGCAGCAGUGGGGAAUAUUGCACAAUGGGCGCAAGCCUGAUGCAGCCAUGCCGCGUGUAUGAAGAAGGCCUUCGGGUUGUAAAGUACUUUCAGCGGGGAGGAAGGGAGUAAAGUUAAUACCUUUGCUCAUUGACGUUACCCGCAGAAGAAGCACCGGCUAACUCCGUGCCAGCAGCCGCGGUAAUACGGAGGGUGCAAGCGUUAAUCGGAAUUACUGGGCGUAAAGCGCACGCAGGCGGUUUGUUAAGUCAGAUGUGAAAUCCCCGGGCUCAACCUGGGAACUGCAUCUGAUACUGGCAAGCUUGAGUCUCGUAGAGGGGGGUAGAAUU
rnacentral:rRNA from 1 species